GUUCCAGACUUUGGAAAACCUCCGGUUCUUCGUCUCUUUCAUUAAUUAACAUAUGUUAUGCCAUUGUUUAAUUGUUAGAUAAUUUUUAGUUGGAGACAUUGCUUUUGAGACAUCUGAAGUGGAUUCUUCAAAAAUGAGACCGAUGCCGUCACAAUCAAUACAUUCGGGCAAGAACAAUGUCAACUCAUACUCUUAGUAUAUAUAUAUUUUAAUUCACCGAAGUUAAAGGGAAUGAUUAAUAUAAUGUGAUUUAAGUUCAUGUGGUAAUGAUGUUGAUCAAGACUGAAUAUAUGAUUGUGCAGA